rnacentral:lncRNA from 10 species
UUUGAGGGGUCUCUGUCAACUAAAAUAGCCUGUGGUUCUGAUUCUGUUUUAGGAUUCAGUCCAGGAGUUACCAUUUCUCAAACUGGGAUGCCAGUGGGUGUGUCCCGCUCAGAUUUUCAUGGGGUCUUAGGAAUGUGUCUCCCCUCUUGAUGUCAAUCUGGUAAAGCGGGGUUUACUCUGAAUCUGUUUCUUUUUUAACUGUAUGGCCACCAAGGACAGAAAUAGAAUUUGGACUGAUGUCACUGAAGGAACAAUUCAACGUAAAAAACUUUCUAACAACCAGAGCUCUCUAAUAAAGAAGUAGCCAGUAAUCAAAGGAACUGAGUUACUGUGGCAGGAGAAAAGAAACAGGGGAGCUCACUGCUUAUUGGGGAUAAGCAUCCAUUUUAGGAUAUUUUUGCUCAUCUUUUAUCUCUUCUAAUUGUAGGCGCCCUGAGGACAGCUUUUUACAUUUUGUUGCUUUCUGCAUCUCUGGACAUAUUGUGGAUGUUUAAUAAUUAUAUUUUUAAUGAUUGAAGGAAUAACACAGAAGGGAAUCCUGCAUUUAUUGAGCAGGGCGUUGGAAUGCAAAACUUUAAGAUACUUUAACUGUGAAAUUCUUGGAAGCAUUCAUCAUCCUGUGGAAAGCUAAAUUCAAUGAGGUCAGGAAAUCCAAAUGCAGGAAGAAAAAUGAAAACUUCAGCUAAAAUCAUUACAGUGGUUAAGAUAUUCUCCCAGGAAUCUCCACUCUCGCUGUUAAACUUCCCAGCAAGUUCAAAGGGGCUCUCAUCUCUCCAAGAUCUG